CCUUAUCUCUUUCCCUCUCUCUAAAAAAAAUAUCGCAUGGGACACAAAAGAGGACAUGGAGGAGGCGUAUCGUGGGAUGCCCCCGCCAGGCCACCGCCACCACCGACGAGCGCAUCGUGGGAGGCUCCGCCAUGCCGCCGCCGACGAGCACGAGGAUGCGUAUCGCGGGAGGGUGGCGCCAGUCUGCCGUCGAAUCCGCGACCUCACGCCAACGAGCAUGAGCCUUGAGGAGGAGGCGCGUCGCGGGGAGGACUCCGACAGGAUGCCGUCGUCUCCGCCACGCCGCCACCGAAGAGCUCGAGGAGGAGGAGCGAUGUGGGGAGGGUUGCACAAGGCUACCGUCGACUCUAAUGGAGCCCGACCGCCUUGGCAUAUCCUCUGCGAGUUGAGCGCUCCGGCCAGGGCUCUCUUACAGAGUUGAAGGCGCAUGCUAGCUAGAGGUCAGCUUCAUCUGCCAAUCACACUCUGCACUGCAGCGCCUAGAGGAGACGAACUGGUGUUGCAUCGGCUCCUGAAGUGCGGCCUGGAUCCCAAUGAAUCGGAUAACAAUAAUCCAGCACACGCUGUUGUUAAUUAGUUCUUGUUAUAUUGUAUUUUGGUAUCUGAAUCUUAAUUUUUAGGUGGGUAAUGUGUUGGGCUACUGCUAGAGACUGGCGCUGAUCCAAAUCCUACAUAUCCAUGAGGAGGUCCUUUAUGGAGGCCUUAAGCAGGAGGCACAAGCCUGUGGCGGAUCUGCUAGCGGAGGCUGGCAACGGCCUGCCUGUGAGCGACCCGGCCAUGUAUGCACGCGCAGUUCGAUACCGCAUUGCUUGAGGAAAUCAUCUGGUGGGGAUGUGACUGUUGCGUGUUGCAGCGACAGCUGCAGCGCGCAGUCCAGGACGACAACAUCUGGAUUAUCAGAUAGCAUUGGCUGCAACAUCUAGCUCAGGCAAGGAUGAGGGCUGCAAUUGUUCUCAACAGUGGUCAAGGUGCACACCCGAAUUGGCCAUGCUGCACCGAGCUGAAUGCCAUGACCUGGCUGUGAUGGUGAACCGAGCUGUUCGGCUUUCAGAACUGUGGAUUUCGUGUCAAUGAAAUCUCUUGAAGAACAACAUGGUACAUACUGUAAGCAUCCCAUUAAUUUGGCCAUCCUCAUGUCAGUUUGGGUGGUCUAAUGGAGAUGCCAACUCUUGCAGAUGCCAGCUGGAGGGAGUCAGUGUUUGAGGACCUAAUAUCAAAUUCUUGCAAACGGUGCGAUCUGCCAACACCAAACCAUUGCAGACGGUGGCUGCAGCUAACCAGUAUCUAAAUUGCCUUCAACAGCCGAUGCGUGUAUAAAUAAGACUUAUGUAGUGUAUGUUGUAUUACUAUCAUGCUAUAUAUCCUUUUCACUGCCUGCUAAUAUUGUGUUGUACUAUGGUAUGUGGUUCCUUUUUCACGCUAUAUAAUGCUCACAAGAUCAUACCUAUUCUA